rnacentral:rRNA from 1 species
UACGUAGGGGGCAAGCGUUGUCCGGAUUUAUUGGGCGUAAAGCGCUCGCAGGUGGUUCGUUGCGUCGUGGGUGAAAGACCCCGGCUCAACUGGGGAGGGUCGUGCGAUACGGGCGAACUGGAGGCCAGUAGGGGGAUGCGGAAUUCCGGGUGUAGUGGUGGAAUGCGUAGAGAUCCGGAGGAACACCAGCGGCGAAGGCGGCAUCCUGGACUGGUCCUGACACUCAGGAGCGAAAGCGUGGGGAGCGAUCCGG